CUUGAAAAAGAAAAUGGUCAUUACUGGAAGAACCAUCUUACAGUUACAGUCACCUCCUGGUCAAUUCCCAACAUUCAAAAGAGUCGGGGUCCCACCAUGUUGCCUCCGCUGGUCUCCAAUUCCUGAGCUCAAGCGAUCAGCCUGAAGUGCUGGGAUUACAGGCGUGCUGGGAUUACAGGCGUGAGCCACUGUGCUUGGCCAAUCUAGUAAUUAUUUAAAGUACUUCCUGCUAUUCUAAAAAAAGUUUAUUCCCAUCUCAAUGAUAAAUGGCAGGGUCAUUUCAUUCCUUAUCUGUUGCUACAUAACAAAUUACCCCAGAUCUUAGUGGCUUGAAACAACAACAAACUUUUAUUAUCUCUCACAGUUCCUAUGGGUUAGGAAUUUAGGUGUGGCUGAACUUGGCAGUUCAAGGCAUUGGCUGGGGCUGCAAUCCAUUGGAAGGCUUGCCUGGGGCGGAAGGAUCUGUUUUCAAAGCCCCGAGCUGCCGGUUGGGGGUGGGAUGCCUCAGUUCCUCUCCAUAUGGGCCUCUCCAUGGGGCUGCUUGGGUGUCUUCAGGCCUUGGGGGUUGGUUUCCUACAGAGCAAGGGAUCUGGGAGAGAGGGAGCACCACGCAGAAGCCAUCCUUUCGUGCCCUAGCCUCGGAAGUCUCAUGGUAUUGCUUUUACCAUCUCCUAGUGACUUAGAAGAAAGUAGCCAAGACAGACAUUUAAAGGAGACGGGGGUGGAGGGAUCCCAGGUUUUUUUUUUUUUUUUUUGACAUGGAGUCUGGCUCUGUCGCCCAGGCUGGAAUGCAGUGGCGCGAUCUCGGCUUCACGCCAUUCUCCUGCCUCAGCCUCCUGAGUAGCUGGGAAUACAGGCGCCCGCCACCACGCCUGGCUAAUUUUUCUAUUUUUAGUAGAGACGGGGUUUCACCGUGUUAGCCAGGAUGGUCUCGAUCUCCUGACCUUGUGAUCCGCCCGCCUCGGUCUCCCAAAGUGCUGGGAUUACAGGCGUGAGCCACUGCGCCCAGCCAAUCCUAGCUUUUAAAACCACCAGCAGCUGGGAGCAGUGGCUCAUGCCUGUAAUCCCAGCACUUUGGGAAACCAAGACGGGAGGAUCACUUAAGGUCAGGAGUUUGAGACCGGCAUGGACAACAGAGUGAGACCCCCUCUGUACAAAAAAUCUAAAAACUACCACGGUUGGCCAGGCGCAGUGCUCAUGCCUGUAAUCCCAGCACGUUGGGAGGCCAAGGCGCGCAGAUCACUUGAGGUCAGGAGUUCAAGACCAGCCUGUCCAACCUGGGAAAACCCAUCUAAAUUAAAAAUACAAAAAAUUAGCUGAGCAUGGUGGUGGUACCUGUAACCCCAGCUACUCAGGAGGCUGAGGCAGGAGCAUCACUUCAACCCAGGAGGCAGAGGUUGCAGUGAGCCGAGAUCGUGCCACUGCACUCCAUCCUGGGCAACAGAGUGUAACUCCAUCUCCAAAAACAAAAGCAAAACAAAACAAAACAAAACUACCAUGGUUACCUAAAACAGGGCAUGUGUUGGGAAGGGAGUAGACAGAGCCAGAGUGGAUAGACAGAAGACAUCUGAUCAAGAAAGAUUCAGGCCGGGAGUGGUGGCUCACGCCUGUAAUCCCAGCACUUUGGAAGGCCAAGGUGGGUGGAUCACCUGAGGUCAGGAGUUCGAGACCACCCUGGCCAACAAGGCAAAACCCCGUCUCUAUUAAAAUACACAAAAUUAGCCAGGCAUGGUGGUGCACGCCUGUAAUCCCAGCUACUCAGGAGGCUGAGGCACAAGAGUCACUUGAACCCAGGAAGCAGAGGUUGCAGUGAGCUGAGAUCACGCCAUUGCAUUCCCGCUUGGGUGACAGAGUGAGACCCUGUCUCAAAAAACAAACAAAACCAACAAGGCAGAGAUGUGGCCAGGGCUUCUGAAGGAAUGCAUGAAGUCCACCCAGCACCCACUCCAGUUGUGUCCCUCCAUCCUCCCAGACUACCCCCUGCCCCUGCACUCCCAGCCAUGCCCCCUGUGUGGGCCUCUGGUCCUCUCACCCUCUACCUUUGCUGGAGAACAUACAGGACUCACGUCUUUUCCUCCCAUGGGACAGAAACUCCUUUCGCGCUUCCUAUCAGGCCCUGCCUACCGCAGGUAUACACUGCGGGGUUUCUCAGUGAACAGAGCAUACCAAUUUGCACCCGCCACAGGACAGUGGCUUGUUCCCUGCAGACAACUUACUCUUUCAGCCUCCAGGCGUUUGCUCCUCCAGCCCAGAGGGAUGGGGCAGCAAUGAGCAUUUGAGCCGCCCUAGAAGCAGGAGGCAGGAGGCAGGAAGAUAUCUGGAUAGUUCAGGAAAGAGAUGAGGAAAAAGGAAAAAGGCAUAGGAAAAAGAUUUGGGAGCUAGGGUUGAGCCAGCCCCUUUCUCUGGGCAGCAGCAGACUAUGGCUGUCCUGAGUGGGCACACGCAAGGCUCUGGGGCUCACCCCGUACCCUCUUCACCUAUACCCCUCCCCUGAUCCAUCUGUAGCCACCCACUCCUGUUCCCUGCUUGCUCAUCUUGCUUUAACCCCAGCACCUCCUGACAUUUUCUCAUGCCAGCCAUCACCCCAUUCUUGGCUCAGAUGGUGCUGCCUCCUCUAGGAAGCCUUACUGGCUUGCAGCUCUGUGGUCCUAGAGCAUUUUGGCUGCCCCUGCCAGAGGCCUGACACCUAAAUGACAGGUGAGGUCCUUGGCUUAAUUCUGCGAGAGCAGUGACAGCAUCUCCACUUUCCAGAAUCAGGAUGCGAUUAUGUGUGUGUGUAGUCUUCUAAGCCUGGGCUUUUCUGGCUCUGCCCUCACAAACUGGUGCUGGCCAGUGGACCCAGGGCCUUCCCAGUUAAUGCUUAAUGGCUGGGUACAGUGGCUCACACUUGUAAUCCAGCACUUUUGGAGUUCCAGGUGUCUUUAUUAAAAAUACAAAAAUUAGCCAGGCAUGGUGGUAGAGACCUGUAAUCCCAGCUACUUGGGAGACUAAAGCAGGAGAAUCGCUUGAACCUGGGAGACAGAGGUUGCAGUGAGCUGAGAUCAUGCCACUGCACUCCAGCCGGGGCAACAGAGCAAGACUCUGUCUCAAAAAAA
rnacentral:lncRNA from 1 species